rnacentral:misc_RNA from 1 species
UUAACUCAUUUCCCACAUGGUUUGCUCAGACUUCAUCAAUCACACGAGUUGUCAAGUUUUUCUCUGGCAGGCACGCUCCAGCCAUCAGAGGCCAGCGGGAUCCGCUAGGCGGGCCCCGGCCUACCAAAGCAACAGUAGAUACAAUCGACACGGGUGGGAGGGUCGACUCCGGCAUGGCUCCUCCUUCGCACUGGCUUGCGCCGCGGUCAGGGGGGCCGAGAGUCUUCACGCUCAGUAAUGAUCCUUCCGCAGGUUCACCUACGGAAA